rnacentral:rRNA from 1 species
UACAGAGGUCCCAAGCGUUGUUCGGAUUCAUUGGGCGUAAAGGGUGCGUAGGCGGUCGCGCAAGUCGGAUGUGAAAUCUCAGGGCUCAACCCUGAAACUGCAUUCGAUACUGCGUGGCUAGAGUGCUGGAGGGGAGACUGGAAUUUACGGUGUAGCAGUGAAAUGCGUAGAUAUCGUAAGGAAGACCAGUGGCGAAGGCGACUCUUUGGUCUGUAACUGACGCUGAGGCGCGAAAGCGUGGGGAGCAAACAGG